rnacentral:tRNA from 1 species
GACGGUGAGGCUCAGGGGUAGAGUGUGUGCUUAGCAGGCACGAGGUCCUGGGUUCAAUCCCCGGUACCUCCA